rnacentral:ncRNA from 2 species
GCUUAGAGUUGGCCACAUGAAUGACUCAGCGCAGUAUGAAGUCUUUGUUUUCUUCCGAAAACAAGCUCAAUGAGAGCCAUCGGGGGUAGAUCUAUCUCAUGACGAGUGGUGGAAUACUUUGACUCAUGAGAGAGAAGCUGAGGCGAAGGCGUCUACCUAGAGGGUUUCUGUCGAUCAAGGGCGAGAGUAGGAGUAUCCAACAGGAUUAGAGACCCUGGUAGUUCCUACCUUAAACGAUGCCGACAGGAGUUUGUCAUUUGUUAAUGGCAGAAUCUUUGGAGAAAUCAUAGUUCUUGGGCUCUGGGGGAACUACGACCGCAAGGCUGAAACUUGAAGGAAUUGACGGAAGGGCACACCAGGGGUGGAGCCUGUGGCUUAAUUUGAAUCAACACGGGGAAACUUACCAGGACCAGAUGUUUUUUAUGACUGACAGGCUUCGGGUCUUUCAGGAUAUUGUUUUUGGUGGUGCAUGGCCGUUGGUGGUGCGUGGGUUGACCUGUCUAGCGUUGAUUCAGCUAACGAGCGAGAUUAUCGCCAAUUAUUUACUUUGCCGAAGUCCUUCGGUUAAAGUUCUAAUUGGGACUCCCUGCGAUUUUAGCAGGUGGAAGAGGGUAGCAAUAACAGGUCCGUGAUGCCCUUUAGAUGCUCUGGGCUGCACGCGUGCUACAAUGUUAGGAUCAAUAGGACUGCGAGCCUGAGAGGGUGCGCUACUCUUAUAAUCCCUAACGUAGUUGGGAUUGACGUUUGUAAUCAGCGUCAUGAACCAGGAAUCCCUUGUAAAUGUGUGUCAACAACGCACGUUGAAUACGUCCCUGCCCUUUGUACACACCGCCCGUCGCUCCUACCGAUUGGAUGACUCGGUGAAAUCACCGGAUGCUUACGAGCAGAAAGUGAUUAAAUCACGUUAUCUAGAGGAAGGAGAAGUCGUUACAAGGUAACGGUAGGUGAACCUG